GAUCAUGGCUCAGAACGAACGCUGGCGGCGCGUUUAAGCAUGCAAGUCGAGCGGCGAAGGGCCUUCGGGCCCUAGAGCGGCGGACGGGUGAGGUAACACGUGGACAAUCUGCCCCCCGGCCCGGGAUAGCCCAGGGAAACCUGGAUUAAUACCGGAUGAGACGGGACCCGCGAUGGCGGGACCCGGGAAAGGCGCUGCGGCGCCGCCGGGGGAUGAGUCUGCGUCCCAUUAGCUAGACGGCGGGGUAACGGCCCACCGUGGCGACGAUGGGUAGCCGGCCUGAGAGGGUGGACGGCCACAUUGGAACUGAGACACGGUCCAGACUCCUACGGGAGGCAGCAGCUAAGAAUCUUCCGCAAUGGGCGAAAGCCUGACGGAGCGACGCCGCGUGAACGAAGAAGGCCGUGAGGUUGUAAAGUUCUUUUCGGGAGGGGGAACAACCGUGGCAGGGAAUGGCCGCGGGAUGACGUGAAUCCCGGAAUAAGCCCCGGCUAACUACGUGCCAGCAGCUGC
rnacentral:rRNA from 1 species